rnacentral:rRNA from 1 species
GUAAGUUAAUACCUUGCUGUUUUGACGUUACCAACAGAAUACGCACCGGCUAACUUCGUGCCAGCAGCCGCGGUAAUACGAAGGGUGCAAGCGUUAAUCGGAAUUACUGGGCGUAAAGCGCGCGUAGGUGGUUCAGCAAGUUGGAUGUGAAAUCCCCGGGCUCAACCUGGGAACUGCAUCCAAAACUACUGAGCUAGAGUACGG